UACGUAGGGACCGAGCGUUGUCCGGAUUCAUUGGGCGUAAAGAGCUCGUAGGCGGCUGUUCAAGUCGAACGUGAAAACUCGGAGCUCAACUCCGAGCCUGCGUUCGAUACUGGACGGCUAGAGUCUGGUAGGGGGAUCUGGAAUUCCUGGUGUAGCGGUGAAAUGCGCAGAUAUCAGGAGGAACACCGAUGGCGAAGGCAGGUCUCUGGGCAUUAACUGACGCUGAGGAGCGAAAGCAUGGGGAGCGAACAGG
rnacentral:rRNA from 1 species